GAUCACGUAGCCAAGCGGCAGGGCGCCUCCUCCGAAACGACACGGCGAUGGGCUUCCGUCGCCGUAUCGGGUCACGGAUGGUCAGCUGGGUUCGACUCCCAGCGUGAUCU
rnacentral:tRNA from 1 species